UUUGUUUAGGGGGUUGUAUGCUCUUGGGACUGAGAGGGACGAGACAUUAAUCCAGGUUCUCCACAUCUUUCUAAACAAGUCUCUUAUAUUUCAAACUUGUAAAUAAACAGCCAGGCAAGCAAGGCGUGUUAGUUUUUAUCUUUGUUUUCUCAACUUGUAAAUGUACCUUUUACUAGAGUGUUUAUCUUUGUUUGCUAUACUUUGAACCUGGGCUAGAGGGGGUUCCUCUGAGCUCUUUAAGUUUGCUUACCCUGUAAAGUUAUUUUCCAUCCUGAUUUUACAGAGAUGAUUUUUACCUUUUUCUUUAAUUAAAAGCCUUCUUUUUAAGAACCUGAUUGAUUUUUCCUUGUUUUUAGAUCCAAGGGGUUUGGAUCUGUAUUCACCAGGGAAUUGGUGAAAGGUUUCUCAAGGCUUCCCAGGGAAGGGAAUUAGCUUUGGGAAUGGUGGCAGCGGACCAGAUCUAAGCAGGUAGUUAAGCUUAGAAGUCUUCAUGCAGGCCCCCAUAUUUGUACCCUAAAGUUCAAAGUGGGGAAGCAGCUUUGACAUGGUGGCAGAGCGGUGGAGAUCAUUUUAAACCCAAAAGCCAGUAAGAUUUUUUUUUUUUGUUUUCCUUCUAGCUGCUUGGAAAGCAGAGCUGAAGGUAGAUGCAUAUCUUAUCUCUCCUUGCCUGAAGGCAGAGGUGUUAAUUUUUUUUUUUUUAACAAGGGCCUUUGUUAAGAGAAGGGUUCAAUCAUUGAGCAAACUGGUAAAAGGAAUUUACAAGCUGAAUUGUGUUUUUUUUUUUGUUUGUUUGUUUUUUGUUUUUUUGUUUUGUUUUUUCUUUUUACAUCCUCGGGAGUAGAGUUAGAAAGUCUCUUAACUCAGCAGCAGCCUGAGCUGAGAGUAUCCUAGUUUCAGUCAACUGCAGAGGGGUGUGACCCAGCAUAAGAAAACAGGGAAAUGACUACAAAAGAAGAGAAAGCCAAAGAGGAGGCCCACAAGAGAGCUAUGGAGCUGGAGAAAGCCAAAGAGGAGGCCAGAGAAAAAGAAAGGAGGCAUGAACUGGAAGUAGCAAGGGCUAGGCUGGAUACAACAGCCAAUCCUAACAACCCCUCUCCAGGUACCACUUCCCAUCCCAGAAAAUUCCCCACCUACAAGGCAGGUGAUGAUACUGAGGCCUUCUUAGAAAAUUUUGAAAGGGCCUGCCUUGGAUACACCCUCACUCCAGACCAGUACAUGGUAGAGCUGAGGCCUCAGCUCAGUGGACCCUUAGCAGAGGUGGCGACUGCAACAGCCGUAGUGGAUCCAAUCCCAGAGACCCAGCCAAAGCCAGUCCCAGAACCGGAACUGGCAACACAACCAGCACCAGAACCAUUGCCAGCACUGAGUCCAGCGCUUGCAAACCCGUCUACAACUCCAAUGCCAGAGGGCACCAGCGAGCCUGAACUGGUGAAGCAGCAGAUAACCCUACCCAAGAGGCUCAGCCAGAGCCUGAAAUACCACAUAGUGCACCAGCGGACAGCAGUUCACAGUCAAUGGAAACAGCCCCAGCCCCAGCACCUGCAUCGCUUCCAGAGGGACCAAGCCCCAGUCCACAGUCCAAGGAGGAACUGAUGUCUCCAGCAUCAAGGGAACAGUUCCAGGCCGAGCAGGAAGCAGAUGACAGCCUUCAGAAAGCUUGGGCGGCAGCACAGAGCACCCUACCGCCUCUCAGCUCUUCUAACUGAUCUCGGUUUGUUGUAGAACAAGGACUUUUAUACAAGGAGACUCUUUCUGGUGGGCACCAGGAAGACUGGCAUCCUCAAAGACAGUUGGUAGUUCCCACUAAGUAUCGGGUAAAGCUCUUGAGCUUAGCCCAUGGUCAUCCCAGUGGCCAUUCUGGGGUGAACAGAACCAAAGACCGGUUGGGGAAGCCCUUCCACUGGGAGGGAAUGGGCAAGGACGUUAUUAAUUAUGUCCGGUCUUGUGGGGUGUGCCAACGAGUGGGAAAGCCCCAAGACCAGGUCAAAGCCCCUCUCCAGCCACUACCCAUAAUUGAGGUCCCAUUUCAGCGAGUAGCUGUGGAUAUUCUGGGUCCUUUCUCAAAGAAGACACCCAGAGGAAAGCAGUACGUACUGACUUUCAUGGAUUUUGCUAUCCGAUGGCCGGAAGCAGUACCCUUAAGCAACACCAGGGCUAAAAGUGUGUGCCAGGCAUUAGCAGACAUUUUUGCCAGGGUAGGUUGGCCCUCCGACAUCCUUACAGAUUCGGGAACUAACUUCCUGGCAGGGACCAUGAAAAACCUGUGGGAAGCUCAUGGGGUGAAUCACUUGGUUGCCACCCCUUACCACCAUCAAACCAAUGGCCUGGUGGAGAGGUUUAAUGGAACUUUGGGGGCCAUGAUGUGUAAAUUCGUAAAUGAACACUCCAAUGAUUGGGACCUAGUGUUGCAGCAGUUGCUUUUUGCCUGCAGGGCUGUAUCACAUCCCAGUUUAGGGUUUUCACCAUUUGAACUUGUGUAUGGCCACGAGGUUAAGGGGCCAUUACAGUUGGUGAAGCAGCAAUGGGAGGGGUUUACACCUUCUCCAGGAACUAACAUUCUAGACUUUGUAAGCAACCUACAAAGCACCCUCUGACACUCUUUAGCCCUUGCUAAAGAAAACCUAAAGGAUGCUCAGGAAGAGCAAAAGGCCUGGUAUGAUAAACAUUCCAGAGAACGGUCCUUCAAAGUAGGAGACCUAGUCAUGGUCUUAAAGGCGCUCCAGGCCCAUAAAAUGGAAGCGUCGUGGGAAGGACCAUUCAAGGUCCAGGAACGCCUAGGAGCUGUUAACUAUCUCAUAGCCUCCCCCACCUCCAACAUAAAGCCUAAGGUAUACCAUGUUAAUUCUCUUAAGCCCUUUUAUUCCAGAGAAUUAAACGUUUGCCAGUUUACAGCCCAGAAAACAGAUGACGCGAAGUGGCCUGAAGGUGUCUACUACGAAGGAAAAAAGGAUGGUGGCAUGGAAGAGGUGAACCUCUCCACGACCCUUGGACGUCUGCAGCGACAGCAGAUCAAGGAGCUGUGUACAAGCUUUGCACCAGUUUUCUCAGCCACUCCAGGACGGACCGAACGGGCAUACCACUCCAUUGACACAGAGCUCCAGGAAGAAAUCGCAGCCAGUGUGGAACCGGACGUCCAACGCUAUCUGUGAUUUGGGGUGUGUGUCAUAACUAUAAAGGGAAGGGUAACAGUUGUCCUGUGUACAGUACUAUAAAAUCCCUCCUGGCCAGGGACUCCAAAAUCCUUUUACUUGUAAAGGGUUAAGAAGCUCGGGUAACCUGGCUGACACCUGACCCAAAGGACCAAUAAGCGGACAAGAUACUUUCAAAUCUUGCGGGGGGUGGGAAAGGCUUUUGUUUGUGCUCUUUGUUUAGGGGGUUGUUCGCUCUUGGGACUGAGAGGGACCAGACAUCAAUCCAGGUUCUCCAUAUCGUUCUAAACAAGUCUCUCAUAUUUCAAACUUGUAAGUAAACAGCCAGGGAAGGCGUGUUAGUUUUUAUCUUUGUUUUCUCAACUUGUAAAUGUACCUUUUACUAGAGUGUUUAUCUUUGUUUGCUAUACUUUGAACCUGGGCUAGAGGGGGUUCCUCUGAGCUCUUUAAGUUUGCUUACCCUGUAAAGUUAUUUUCCAUCCUGAUUUUACAGAGAUGAUUUUUACCUUUUUUUCUUUAAUUAAAAGCCUUCUUUUUAAGAA